GAGGGCCAAUGCAUUGCCUCAGUAGCGGCGAGUGAAGCGGCAAGAGCUCAGAUUUGAAAUCGUGCUUUGCGGCACGAGUUGUAGAUUGCAGGUUGGAGUCUGUGUGGAAGGCGGUGUCCAAGUCCCUUGGAACAGGGCGCCCAGGAGGGUGAGAGCCCCGUGGGAUGCCGGCGGAAGCAGUGAGGCCCUUCUGACGAGUCGAGUUGUUUGGGAAU
rnacentral:rRNA from 1 species